UGCAUAUAAAAAUAAACGGAGGUUGUAUAUUAUAAAUUUUCGUUUUCUGAAGUUCUAACCCACUCCCCGGAAAAAAAGAAAAUUCUAACCCACACAUUUCCAUGUUCUUCGUCCCUCCCUCUCUACAUUCUCUCUCUCUGGAUCAAAAUCUGCUCAAAAUGCUAAGAAAAUAUGGUGAGAGGAAGAAGAUGAGUUGUUCAAUUCACCAAUAAUUCUACUGCUCAUACUCGCAACUUUCCAAAUCCUCCUGGUUUCACUCGCGCUUAUCAAGGUCUGGUUUUUAUUUUCUAUUUUUUUUGUUCUUUUUUUUUUUCCAUCAAAAGAAGGAUGUUGAAGCUAAUUGGAAAUCUUAGGUAAAAUCUACUAGUAAUUUCUUUUUCUAGAUUUGGGAUUUAGGGUUUAUGUUUUUUUGGUAAUUUAUUGCUCUAUUGUGGACUUUAUUUUUAGGGUUUUGAUCUGUAAUUUAAUUCCGAAUGGGUAUUUUGUUAUUUCAUUCAUUUAAGUAAAAUAGGAAUGAAUUCUAUAAAAUUGACAAGCAAUUGGUUUAUUGAUUUUUUUUUUUUUUUUUCCUUUCCUUAUAGAUUUAUCUCGGUUUUUCCUUUUAACAAAAUUUUCGCUGAUUUUUUAUUUUGUUGUUGACGUUUGCAAGUAUGGAUGGCUUAUGUAUUCAGAGUGUUUCUUCACAAGGAGAGUGGAGAUUCUAAGGCCUUGUUGAAUAAUGCAACAGAUGCCAUGAACGAGUCUCUUGCUCAUGAGAUCUUAACCUUUUUAACGGAACUUCAGGAUAGAAUAAUGGAUUUUGAGGAAUUAUUCUGUGCAGCCGCCGAGCUUGGACUGGGGCCCAACUUAUAUACCGGUUCAUGCAGUCCUUCAUGACUGGAUUCGGCAUACUGAUGGGAAGCUUUUGUGCUGAAUGAGAAACCUGUGAUUGGCUGGACAGCAGAGUUGAGUGUAAUGCUCAUAAGGAGUCAAAAGCAGUACCAAAGCCUGUUGCUGUGAAAGGAACAUUUGUUGAAAAUAUUGGGCCAAGGAUGAACUUGAGUACUCCUUUUAGUUUAAUUUGUUUAGAUUUUCUUAAGUAAAUAUUUAUUUUAAUUGUUUUUAUGUAAAGUUGUACUCAUAUUUGUUUAUAUUUUUGUUUUUUCAUUUUUUUCUUUAAAUUUAUGUAAUUUUUUGUUUUCAAAUUUGUAAGUUUAGAAACUUGCUAAAAGAAGAUGUAAUACAUGCAAUUUAAUUUUGAGCAUUUAUAAAAUACUUUUUGUAUAUCACUUGUUCC